UUAGUAGAGGCUCAUUAAGCAGGAAGACUUUUAGGUGUGGAGCCCCAAGAUACACCACCAUCUGAGACCAGCACCAGGACCCCGAAACCUCUUGAAAGAACAGAAUGUGGAACUGACUCUAAAAAAGAUAAGAUUGAAUGUAAAGCCUUUAUUGAGGGCCAGGCAAGAAGCUCUGGGCUUGAGUUCUGCCUUUGAAAUGUACUAGCUGUGUGACCAAAUGCCAAUCAGGUAACCUUCUUUGGACAAAUCUCCAAGGCUAUAGGUUACAGGAGUCUGCAGGAGAAGAGUUUUCCUACUGAGAUGUCUUUACACUACUGAAAACGCAGUUCUGGAACAAUAAAUUCUGCAGUUUUGCAUCAAGCAAGUCUAUUGGCACCAUUUUGCCAACACCUGUGUUCACCUGUGUCUCUGUGACACAUUUUGGCUGCUCAACAGAUGCCGGAUAAACAAUAUACAAAACUACAAAGUUGCAAUUCUAUUCAACACAAUUAUGGGCCAAAAUUUUUUCCCCCCUUUUCUUUACUGCUAGAAAUCUGGAGCCCACGCGUCUCUUUUAAAAGUUUCAUUGCUACCAUUUGUUUCAUAUCACAUUCAUUUCCUGUUAUCUCCCUACCCCCACUUUUCUCUUUUAUCAAAGAUCACUCCUCACCCACAACAGUUCAGCCAAAGCAACUGAUACAUAUCUAUAUCUAUAUAUCUAUAUCUAUCUAUCUAUCUAUCUAUCUAUCUAUCUAUCUAUCUAUCUAUCUAUCUAUCUAUACACACACACACACGGUUUUUUUUUUCAGCAGUCCUCUUGGGACUUAGGGAUCUUAGAGGACUCAGAUGUGUGGAAGGAGCCCCACUGUUCAAAGUUCAUGUGUGUACCUGAAUGUGAUCACCAACAUCAUUGGCUUGGCCCUCUGCCAAGCUAAUAAGAUAGUCUUCUGACUAUAUACCUCUCAUAUCCCUGAACCAUCAUCAUAUGAUGGCCCUAAACACCAUAUGGCUUCUGAUCCAUAGGCUGGGGAUUACUGAAUUUUCCCCUCUUAAAUGCAAAUGGUAUAUAGGAACCCGGCUGCUGUUAUCCAAAGGAGUUCAGAUGAAGCCCACACCCAAAUGCUACAUUGGUUAUAAAUGGCUUCCUCUAUAUAGAUUCAGGGUCUCAGAGGAUUGAACAGUAGCUCAUCUGCUUUCAUGUUUUCCUUUGGAAUUCAGUAAUGAACUCAUUAAAUCACCAACUUGUUGUGACAGAAAGUCAUUCAGAUGCUGAUGCCAUUGCCAUGGAAACCACUCCUCUGCUCAGGAGAUCUGUCUGUCUCUUCCUGAGGAGUGCUGGCUCCAUAAUUACCAGCACCCCAAAUAACACAGAGGUAUCACGACUGCGAGUGCAUGCAGAUCCCAAAGUGGGGAUGUAAAGCAACUCCACAGAGGGGCUGUUUCUUCCUGUUUCUUCUCCCUAGGCCUAAGUGGGAAGGGGGUGUCCUUGCUCAGUGCAAUUUGAUGGUUAGCAAAUAGCUCCCAUUGAGAGAGCUGGGCUAUACCGCCAGCUGGUCCACACCGCCUUCCAAUUUUCCAAGCUGCUGGCUAAUGACGUUUGGACUUGCACCGAACAAUUGCUUUGCUUGGUAUCUGACAGAUCCUAGAAAGUCAGACAAAGGCUGUUCUUUUGGAAGCCUCUCAAGGCUGCUCUUAUAAAGUGAACCUACUGUUCCCUUAUCUCUUUAUGUCUUCAAAACUCACAGAGGUGGUCUCAGUUGUGAUUAUUCUUGAAUUUUUAGAUACCAAGCAAGCUACUGUGAAGCACAAAUUCAAAUGCCAUUCACUGGCAAUUGGGAAAAUUGCAAAGUAGUGAGGACCAGUGCUUUCUCCAUGCUGCUGUUUGCUCAACAUGUCAUAUUUAACUAAACUUCCUCUUUGCCCUUCCCACCUACCCACGGGGAGAAAAGAUGGAUAGAAGCAAUACGUCUUUGGAUCUCAAGCUACGAUUUUACAACGAGAUUGUGACAUCUAGCUCUUGCCCCUCCCCAUAGAAACAUUAAUGGCUAAAAGUCAAAAGUAGAUGAAACACUUCAUUAACCUAUUACUGCAACUUCUAGACUAAGCUUGUAUUCCUUUAUCCAAUCCCUCUUUGGUGAGGUAACAUCAUUUUGUUUCUAGUAUUGCAUAUAUCCAGAUGGAUCACAACUAGACCCAAAGGUCAGUGCCAAAAUGUAUUCCAGAGACAAUACAAGGAUCAGUGUUUUCACCCUUAAAAUUAUUCUUAAUUGAAAGUCGAUGAAUUUGCGGACAAAAGAACCAUUCUGUAGGUCAUUAAAUAUUGUAUUAAUGAGAGGAGGGAUCAUGUCUUUAAUGAGGUAUACAGAAUAUGGCACACUGAGAAUGACUAUAACAUUUCCUCCAUAUAUUUCCUAACCUUUGUCUGCUGAAAUCCUUCUCCUUCUUUCAAGGUCCAGGUUGAGUUGCAUCUUCUCUGUGAACUCUUUCCUGGUUCAUAGAGCAGAAGUGACCUUUCCCUUCUCAGACCUUCCUAGGGGACUCUCCCUUGACAGCCUUAUGGUCUAAUCACACUCUACCUUAUGUUACAUUUAUUUACAUAGUGAUCUUUCCACUAUUAGAUUUCAAGCUCCUGGACAGUAGGAACUUCU